rnacentral:rRNA from 1 species
UACGUAGGUGGCAAGCGUUGUCCGGAUUUAUUGGGUUUAAAGGGUGCGUAGGCGGUCCUAUAAGUCAGUGGUGAAAUACGGCAGCUCAACUGUCGAGGUGCCAUUGAUACUGUAGGACUUGAGUACAGACGAGGUAGGCGGAAUUGACGGUGUAGCGGUGAAAUGCGCAGAUAUCGGGAAGAACACCCGUGGCGAAGGCGGCUCUCUGGGACGGUACUGACGCUGAGACGCGAAAGCGUGGGGAGCGAACAGG